AGGCUGAGAUGGAUCCAGAGGUGGGAAGGAUCGCAAGAUUCUGGAUCACCGAGACGAGGGAGGACGGAUUUGAACUGGAUGUCAGCAGCAGCCAAGCUAAGGAAAAAACGAAGAAAGUAAAUUUGAUUGGACCAUUAACAUUGUUUCGAUACUCUGAUUGGCAGGAUAAAUUAUUUAUGUCUUUUGGCACUAUCAUGGCCAUAACUCAUGUAUCAGGUCUGCCCCUCAUGAUGAUAGUAUUUGGAGAAAUGA